UCAGGCCGAGUCCCGCAAAACGGGGGCACUGCCCGUGUCCGCGUGGGAAGUGCUUCCUUUUUGCGGGUCGCUGCGUGA
rnacentral:pre_miRNA from 1 species